UGCGCAGUUGCUAAGAAACGCAGGGAAACGCUUCGUACGUACACGCUCGGUGGUUUGUGCGGUGAUUUCGUUCGUUUGCUGACUCCUGAAGACACCUGCUCAGGGUGGACGGUGCCCCGUACCCCGGUUUCCUCGUGUCCCCACCGCCAGGACCAGGCACAGGACGUCUCCAGGGUUCUCGCUUGCUCGAGGGGUGGUUGGAAAGCAAACCCAAAAGGACCUCCGAAGCGGUGCGCGAUCGGUGCCGUGCGAUCGAGUGAUCUAGCCGUAGCUUGACCCAGCAAAAGCAAAUAAAAAAAAAGAAUCGCCCUCGAGCGCGGCGUGUCGUCCUCGAAAAAUCACGCUCCAGCGCCAAACUGUGCGUGUGUGUACACGACCGUGCGUGCGUGUGCGGUGCCGAAUGGUGAUGGUAGUGGUGGUCGGUGGUCGGUGGCCGUGGUUGUGCCCUGGUGUGUCGCGUUUCCUGGGCUGGUGAAUUUAAAUAUUCCAAGUGUUCCACCGUACCGGGACGCGCGUGGGCGCGUAGUGAAUAUUCUUAACGUUCGCGUGGAUCCGCUCGUCCCCGAAAAAGGCUGCGCAAGGUGCGCGUCCACUUGGGAGUUGUGUCACUUAUCGCUCCAGGAUCCAAGGUUGCUGUCAGUUCGUUUUCGUGCACAAGCGGUGCUACCGUUUGGUGCUACCUGUCCGUCACGUCGCGCGGAUCGCGAGCUGGUGCGUGCGAAUCCCGAGGAUCGCGAGUGGAAGGUGGAAAAGAUCAUAGCAAGGCAGCAGGCAACAGAUAAAUAUGCAUAGUGAAGUAUAAUUGCAAUCGCAAAGCCGAGAGCGAGCACCGAUUGCGAACGAAGAGUGAGCGGGGCAGUGCGGGAAGUGCUGGGAGUGAAGUGCAAUCGGAGGUGUACACGGAAAUAGAGUGCAAUAGAGUGAGGGCUGCAAGUGAAACGCGCGCAAACCGGCGCCAAGCAAUAUCCCGAGCGUGCCUUCAGGCGACUGUGCGGCGCAAGGAGCUACCCAUCGAAACGGUACAACUUCGUGCAGAGGCGGGAAAAGAUAAAUUAAAUCAGCAACGCCAGGCGCGUCCGGCUGUAGGGAGAGAGAAAAAAAACCGAAAAACCACCCCACACUGGCCGUGUGCCGGAGAGAAGAAAAAAAAAACAAAAGAUUUUUAAUACCAUUACAAUGCCAUAACUGUUGAUGGUUCCAACACUGCGAUAAACCGAACAAAGGCAUGUAGUUGACGAUUCCAUUUGCAUCGCUAAUCACACAACGUCUUCCGUCCGUUAAUGAGUGAUUUUUAUUCUGUGAAAUAUUGCGAAACGUUCCUUUUAAUAUACGCGAUCAAAGCAUCUAAACUGUUUUAACUACAGAUCGUUACAUAACUAAAAAAAAAUCAUCUUUCAAGUAACUCAGCUAAGAAGAGCAACUUCGAAACGUAUGUAGCGCGGAACAACUCAAUUGCUUCAAUCCCGUGCCAUAAAGGAUGCAUGUAGAGAAACAAAUGCAAGUUUACAACGUGAAAUCUUCGUGAAAUUGCUUGCUUAUGCUAAAUAUCCACCGAAAACUGGUAUACAUUUGACUUUGUACAAAUCUUUAAGUGCCUAAUUUUGUGAUUUCGUUUGUGAAUUGUGAGUGUCAUGAGCAACAUUUUUGUGUGUCUAUGCUACAAGUUGACUAGGAAAUAUGAUCAAAUACGCACAACCGUAAGGCAACCCUGCGAGGCGACAGAGUGGUUAAAGUAGUACGUGAAAUACUCCAGGUGCGAGAGAAGCGAAAUACCAACGUGC